ACGAUUUUGAGAAAAAUCUUGUUUAAUUCAUAUAAGAUAUUUCAAAAUGCGAGUUUAAAUUAUUGCGUUUACAAGUCUGUAGCAUUUUUUGCAAUAAUACAAAGCUAGCAUUAAUUUCUGAAUUUACAGUAAUCUGAUUUGACCCAGAUCAUUAAAAUGAACAGAAAUUUCAAGUUCAUGGAAAGAAGAAAAAUACAUUUGUAAUACUUGCAAAAUAAACUAAUAAAUCUUAAACCUGGAAUAUUGAAAUUGUAUCCAACUUUUCCCAGUGUAAGCUUACACUGCAUGGUUGUUAAUAUACUAGUACUCUUUUAGUAAGUUGAAAUCAUUUCAUGUGUUUUGGGUUUUUAGAAUUUUUAAGUUUGAUACUUUUAGGGGUCUUCUAAAACAAAUGUAAACCUUAUGGCCAAUAUUUAUUCUUCCAAUUUUGAAUCCAUUGUGUUACACAGCCUUGCAGAACAUUCAUUAUUAUGUUAGCAAGCUAUUAUCCCUCUCAUGUAACUCACAUACAUGUAUCACUCAUUACCAUAUUUAAUGUUACAAGAGAAAAUACAGAUGGCCAACAGUUGGAAUAACAUCUCUGACAAGAGUGAAGUGUUUUCCUGUAAAUUGACUUACUUUAUCAACUCAUUACAAAGCUUGGUGUAUAAGUAUCUCAUAAUAGUAUUAAUCUCAUUAUGAAUGUAUACUGUAAACCUACUUAUUUUCGCGUAUACUUUAUUUCGCGUUUUACCCUUUCUUGACCACUUCGCGGCUUUUUAAUUUUGUGAUUUACUUGAUGAAGUUUAUUAAGGAAAGAUCAAAGAUUGACAUAUUUGCGACGAUUUAUAUUCGCGUUAUUUUUCUACUCGCGAAAAUAAGUUGGUUUACAGUAUUUGCUACUGGACAUUAAUUAGCUAUCAUUCAAUUAGUAACUUUAGGCUUAUUAUGGUUAAUAUUAUAUAAGAAUGUGAAUUGCUGUAAUAACCACACAAUUUACCAUAUUAUAUGUAUCUUUAUGGAGCUUUACAUGCUAAUUUUAUGUGGUUGUAUGUUAUGAUGUAAUUAUUGUUAGAGUGAAAAAUACCUUAUAGGUUUCUGAAUAAAUAUUUGUUUGAAAAUUAAGAUGUGUUU
rnacentral:lncRNA from 1 species